CCCUGAAGCGUUGUGCCCUUUUUUUUUCUCUCUGUCUCUUUCUCUAUCGCUCUGCAUGUGCCGUCCUUUGCCUUAAAGAGCCUUAAACUGAUGGGACUCGCAGGACAAUAGACUGGAGACUCCAGCGGCCACUAGCACACAUACACGACGUGUGUGUGUGUGUGUGUGUGUGUGUGUGUGUGUGUGUGUGUGUGUGUGUGUGUGUGUGUGUGNNNNNNNNNNNNNNNNNNNNNNNNNNGUGUGUGUGCUGUGAAAGUCGCUUUGGCUCUGGUAUUGGCACUUGCUCAGAUGGGAACUGACACAUGACUUUAGUGUCAGCUGUAAACACCGAUCUAGACUUGGCAGUUCUUUGUUUUGUUGUUGUCAUUUGUUUUUAUGAAGAGAUUUCAUUUUUUAAAUUUUCACUCUGUAAAUUCUUAUAUCUUCCGUUCACCUGAUGUAUAUCAAACACACCGUUCCGUUGUUUCCAUAUACACCGUCAGUCACUGGGAAAUGAAUUGCAUGGAGCGGGUUCCACAUUAUCGAAACGUUACCAAAGUCUCACUCACUUUGACACCAAAACAGUGCUUUUAGGUGUCUGUAGCAUGGGAUAUAAACUUGCGUCUCUGUGUGUAUGGCUGUAUUACGUUAUUAUCUAUGUGUACUGUUGUAAGGGCGGAGCGGCCCUGCCGGUGCAUGGAAGCCUCUUCUGUCUCUGCUGCACCCGGGAGAUCCACAAGACUCCUUUCUCAAACACCAGCACGUGUUUCAGGCUUUCACACAGAGCUCUCCAAAGAAAAACAGGGCUAAGCACUCGCAAUUUCAUGAAACCUGUGAAAGCAUCUUGCUGUGUCACUGUCGGAUGGGUGGUGCUGGAGUUUCCUGAUGACAUCUUACCUCUGCGGCCCCACUUGCAGAGCAACAGUCUGGAAUGGCAAAAAAAAAUCUCAAAUUUCAUCGCAUACUAUAAGUCAUGUGGUAUUCAUUCUGUACAUGCUGAUAAUGUAACUCUCGGUUCACUGCGCUGUUUGACAGGUUAUGUGAAACAGGUCCUAUUGUUGUGGUGUUUGGUUUGAAGUUUGAAAACCUGCCAAUGACUUGCGACGUUCUGCAUCCAAAAUGCAACCAACAGUGAUGUUUGCACUUUAAUGUUUGCGUUCUGCUUAGUGGUUGGUUUUGUUGGAUGUUGAUCAUUCUUGCUUCACGUUGCUUGCUCGCAUUCAUUAUGACAAUGACAGAGCUGCUCUCAUUUGCCCUUUCGUUUACACAAAACCAAAAACAAAACGACCUAAAUACUUAACAUUUGUCUUUUGCUGCAUUGCAACACUAGUUUUUCUGAUGUGUAUACCCUCAAACCCAAACACUUUGCAUGACAGAAAUAAAAUGCCCCAAAAUUCAGUAGGCACAACAGUCCUGUAAUGUUAAAAUGUUGCUGGUUUAAAUUGAAAUGUUGUAUUGACAAACGUGUUGCCAUCCACUGGUUGUUCAGUAUUUCAACAGCAUUGUGCAUAUGAACCGUCCUGCUGGUCAAGGCACAUCUCAGGAUCAAAAUGAUUCCCUAUGUAUCAGGAUGCUGUAUUCUCCAACCUAGUGUGAAUAUAGAGCUGAUUUUGUGGAAGUUUGUGUUAAUGGAGUUGACAGCUGUCCUCAUUAGGACCUCAUUCUUAGAAAGUAAAAGGAUUUCUACUCCAUUUAAGUUUUCACCCGUAAAUGCUUUGUUUUUUUUGUUUUUUUACACACGUUGUUGUUCCUAAUAAGUUUGAAUUGCUUUCUUCCUUAAAAAAAACAAAUAAAAAAUCCAUAUGACUUGAAUGAUGAG
rnacentral:lncRNA from 1 species